UACGUAGGGUGCGAGCGUUGUCCGGAAUUACUGGGCGUAAAGAGCUCGUAGGUGGUUUGUCGCGUUGUUCGUGAAAACCGGGGGCUUAACCCUCGGCGUGCGGGCGAUACGGGCAGACUUGAGUACUGCAGGGGAGACUGGAAUUCCUGGUGUAGCGGUGGAAUGCGCAGAGUAUCAGGAGGAACACCGGUGGCGAAGGCGGGUCUCUGGGCAGUAACUGACGCUGAGGAGCGAAAGCGUGGGGAGCAAACAGG
rnacentral:rRNA from 1 species